GCUAGGUGAGUGCUCUACCGCUGAGCCCCAGCCCCAGCCCCCCAGCCCUUAAAGUUUUAAAUUUUAAUAUAAUAAAAUGUAUCAGUCUUUUCUUUCAUGGUUUAUGGAAGGCAUUAAGAUGCUCUCCGUAUAAAAUAAAAUCCCAGUUACUUUAAAUAAUUUAACCAUCAAAGUCUAAGCUAUUUGUUCUGUCUCCAUAGGAAAGCAGCAGUUUGGUGGGCAAUUUGGCACCGUUUAUUUAAAAAUCAAUACUUGCCGGAAUUUAUACAGCAGAAACAUUCACAGGAGCCCCCCACCCCAUCACCAAAUGUAUGCACAAGAUUGUUAAAUAACAUCAUUUGUAACAGCAAAGAUCUAGAAGGAAUCCGAGUUUCAGUGGAAAGCUGGUUAAAUGAAUUAUGGAAUAGCUGCAUAAUGUAAUUCUCUGCCUCUACAAAAAAGAAUAAGGCUGAUUUGGAUGUGCUCAUAGGGAAAGUUCUCCAAGAUGUAUUGGUAAGUAGGGAAGGAAAUAAAAGGACCCAAGCAGUAAGUAUAAUAUGCUACCAUUUAUGUCUAAAAGGGAAACUUUUUUCUUUAUGUAUAUGCAUGUAAAAUUUCAAAAAUAAAACUGCUGAGAGAAGGAGGCUACAAGAGGACAGGGCUUGAGGGUGGAGGGAAACCCAUUUGCCACUGCCAAAAUCAUGGGUGGUUUUCAUUGUGGCUUCCAUUCUGGCAAACAAAGAAGAACCUCUGGAAGAUCACAGGAGCUAUUGUUUCUGGCAUUUGGAAUAGUCGGAGGUGAAGGGGGCCUUUUGUUCCAACAGCUAAGAAGAAAUCGAAUCAUUAGAAACAGGCGGGGGAGUGGGCGUCUCCUAGACAGUGUCAUUACAGGUGCAUUGUGGGCCAGUCCCAGGGCAGGGCUGGUCGCGACCCUGCUGAUGAGGUUUGGGCUUGCUGAUGUCUGGGGAGGGCAGGAAGGGUGAACAGCCUCCCUCUGUGGGGGUUGUCUGUGACACAGAGGUGGAUGGGAUGGAGUGGGGCACAGGGGGUCGUGAUUGAAGAUCUGAGCUGAGAACAUCCACCUGGGCUCCUGAGGUCCGAGAUCCGGGCUGGCUCUAGGAUGGGGGUCUCUUCGCAGUGUGUGGCUGUGUGGAGGGAAGAAGCUGGGCACCCCUCUCCCUGUGGAGGAGGAGAGCCCAACCUCGGAGGUUCUGGCAGGCAAUUCUGGAGAGGAAGAAAAGUGGUGCUCAACCCGGGAAAGUGCUCAUCCAGUGAGUGAGCAGCAAGCCAUCUAAGGUCACCCCGCUGACACUAAAGGAGGAAGAGGGACCGGGCGGCCUCAUGGAGCAAAAACAAGACAUGCAGUUGAGUCCUGCUGGCUUUUCCAGGGCAGCACAGUGUCGCCAGUCUGGGAACUGGGUUGUCUGAGCUCAAGCCAUAGCCGUGUGAAUGGCACACCUGGCAAGUUAUUUAGAUGCAAGUUUUUGCUAUUAAAAAAUGGGAGAAUAAUAAUACCUCUGUAAAAGCACCUACUCAUAGGGACUUGUCCUGGUACACAUUAAUUGUUAACUUGUUUUUACUUAUUUAUUUGUAAAUUCAGCCCAGCUGGGGACUUGGACAGUGGUAUGAUCAGCACAUAGAGACUGAAUCUGUGUCUGAGGUGGAUGCAAGUUAACCAAACCCACAAACCCAAUAAAUAAGCUGCCCAUGAGUGUCGCUAAGUCCAUUGAGAUCCCUGCUCUGCAGAGCACAGACCGUGCUCAGAGGUCCCUUGCAGGACAGGAUCACGUCUGCAUUCUUGCUUAUGUCCAGGGCCAUUCCUGCUACUCGCCUCUAAAAUGAGUUGGUCCCACAGGAUUCCAGUUCAUGAAUAUUUGCCGCAUGAGAAAAUGGUUACUGUGGUGCUCUCUGCAACAGGCAAGACUGGAAACAAUCUAAAUGUGGAACAGCAGAGAGCGUGUUAUUAGAUUGUGGUUCCAUCACCUCACAAAACAGAAGAAUCAUGGCAAAGGACAAUUAAAAUGGUGAUAUAGGAAGGUGGAGAAAUGCUUGUGAUGUAAUUUUAGAAAAACAAAAGAAAUCAAAAUGGUCAGGCCGUGAGAUGGAUCUCUGUUUAUGACAUUUUGAGUGAUAAAGCAAAGUUCAGAGGAGGGUGUGUGAUGUCACCAUCUGUGUAAAAGAGAGCAAAGGAUUUAAGAAUCCAUUUGCAGCUAUAAGCAUACGCCACCUCUGACAGAUUCACAAAAGACCAAAAAUGUUGGUGUCCUCUAGGCAAGGGGACAGGGUGGUGACAGCAGGGAGACACAAUCCUGAUAAUACUUCUGCCUUCUCAAUGUAGAACCAAGCAGAUGUGUUUCUGAUUUUAAAAUUAAAUAAUUUAAAAUGCC
rnacentral:lncRNA from 1 species